AAACUAUGAUAGGGGCACUACUUCUGUAAACCCUUGAAUCUUCCCCAAGCUUCAUAUAAAGACUUGUCAUCUUUUUGGUAAAAAGUGGCGAUCUCACUUCUCAAUUU